GCCAGGUACAGUGGCUCACACUUGUAAUCCCAGCAACUCAGGAGGCUGAGAUAGGAGGAUCACAAAUUCAAAGCCAGCCUCAGAAAUAAACAAGGCCCUAAGCCACUUAGUGAGACCCUAUCUCUA
rnacentral:sRNA from 1 species